CACAAACUAACCUCUCUUAGAAGUCUGUACAUUCAAGGUGGGUGCUCUCAUAUUGUAUCCUUUCCUUCAGAUGAGAUAGGAAUGAUGCUGCCUCCAACUCUAACUAGGCUACGCAUUCGCGAUUUCCCAAAUCUGGAGUACCUUUCCUGCAGAGGCUUUCAGAACCUCACCUCUCUUCAGGAGCUAUGGAUCUCUGACUGUCCUAAGCUUACAUCCUUUCCCAAGAAGGGCUUGCCUCCCUCAGUUCUGGAACUACGUAUAGAAAGAUGUCCUCUUCUACUACAGCAGUUCAUGAAGGGUAAUGUGAAUGAAUGGCUCAAGAUAAGACAUAUUCCUUAUAUUAAGAUAGAUGGCAAAUUUGGCUCUUACUCAGAAUUCUGAGCAGUAAUAAGCUACGGAGACUCCUUCAUGCUAUAUAUCAACAUUUGCAAUAGCAAUUAUCGCUAUUUUCCAUUUAGGCCUCAGUAUGUGUGCUACUGACUUCUUGCAGGACAGAUUCCUCCAAACUAAAGUGGAAUUCAAGCAUUGAGCUUCCAUCUUUAUGACAAAAUGGCCAAAUUGCAACCCUUUCAAGGCAAUUUACCAUAUCUACUUUUUGAAGGCAAAUAUCUGUAUUCAUUGACCAAAGGUGCAAGAGCUUGAUAAAGAGUGGGUGGUUGAACCUGAAAAUAANNNNNNNUCCCACCAGAACAGAAGCAGCUUUAUCAUAAGUUCUUGGUAUUCCUAGGUUAAUAUAAGGCACAUUUCACAGUCUUUCCACAGAGCCUCACAUGGGUCCAUUUCCUUUACUAGAAUCAAUGCCAUUUGGAGUCUAACACUGUAACUGUUGGAUGAAUUCUAAUGUAUUGUAUAGAAGUUGAUUCUUCUGUCAUGUUUCUUUGUUUAUUAUCGAGUCUAAAUACAAGUUAUUAUAUUCAGAAUCUUUCAUACUUCAAUGAAUGUGUCAAGGGAACAAUACCCUUGUGAGGC
rnacentral:misc_RNA from 1 species